AGCAGUCGCCACGGUAAUACGUAGGUGGCAAGCGUUGUCCGGGAUUAUUGGGCGUAAAGCGCGCGCAGGCGGAUAGGUCAGUCUGUCUUAAAAGUUCGGGACUUAACCCCGUGAUGGGAUGGAAACUGGCAAACUAGAGUAUCGGAGAGGAAAGUGGAAUUCCUAGUGUAGCGGUGAAAUGCGUAGAUAUUAGGAAGAGCACCAGUGGCGAAGGCGACUUUCUGGACGAAAACUGACGCUGAGGCGCGAAAGCCAGGGGAGCGAACGGGAUUAGAGACCCCGGUAGUCCCUGUCUCUUAUACA
rnacentral:rRNA from 1 species